rnacentral:rRNA from 1 species
CCUACGGGUGGCUGCAGUGGGGAAUAUUGGACAAUGGGGGCAACCCUGAUCCAGCCAUGCCGCGUGUGUGAAGAAGGCCCUCGGGUUGUAAAGCACUUUCAGUGAGGAAGAACGCCUGGUGGUUAAUACCCAUCAGGAAAGACAUCACUCACAGAAGAAGCACCGGCUAACUCCGUGCCAGCAGCCGCGGUAAUACGGAGGGUGCGAGCGUUAAUCGGAAUUACUGGGCGUAAAGCGCGCGUAGGUGGCUUGAUAAGCCGGUUGUGAAAGCCCCGGGCUCAACCUGGGAACGGCAUCCGGAACUGUCAAGCUAGAGUGCAGGAGAGGAAGGUAGAAUUCCCGGUGUAGCGGUGAAAUGCGUAGAGAUCGGGAGGAAUACCAGUGGCGAAGGCGGCCUUCUGGACUGAAACUGACACUGAGGUGCGAAAGCGUGGGUAGCAAACAGGAUUAGAUACCCUUGUAGUC